UACGUAGGGUGCGAGCGUUGCCCGGAUUUAUUGGGCGUAAAGGGCGCGUAGGCGGCCUGGCGCGUCGGCUGUGAAAUCUCCCGGCUCAACUGGGAGGGGACGGCCGAUACGGCUGGGCUUGAGCGAGGUAGGGGAGAGUGGAAUUCACGGUGUAGCAGUGAAAUGCGUAGAUAUCAGGAGGAACACCGGUGGCGAAGGCGGGUCUCUGGGCCGAUACUGACGCUGAGGAGCGAAAGCGUGGGGAGCGAACAGG
rnacentral:rRNA from 1 species